rnacentral:rRNA from 1 species
CAGUCUUGUUCUGCAGAAAUCAACCCGACUUUGGUCUGGCGUACUUUCUGUUGAACAGGUCAGCAUCAGUUUUGACCGUUGGAGAAAGGCUCAGGAAAUGUGGCAUCUCCGGAUGUGUUAUAGUCUUGAGUUGAAUACAAUGGUUGGGACUGAGGAAAUCAGUGCGAAGGCCUUAUCGUUUGGGGGCAGUUGCCCUACAUGACGCACUUAGGAUGCUGACUUAAUGGCUUUAAUCGUACCCGUCUUGAAACACGGA